rnacentral:rRNA from 1 species
UACGAGGGGGGCGAGCGUUGUUCGGAAUUAUUGGGCGUAAAGGGUGCGUAGGCGGUUCCGCAAGUCCUGUGUGAAAUCUUCGGGCUCAACUCGAAGUCUGCACGGGAAACUGCGGGGCUUGAGUGUGGGAGAGGUGAGUGGAAUUCCCGGUGUAGCGGUGAAAAUGCGUAGAUAUCGGGAGGAACACCUGUGGCGAAAGCGGCUCACUGGACCAUAACUGACGCUGAUGCACGAAAGCCGGGGGGAGCAAACAGG